UUUUUGUUUUAAUUAUGAACAUUCUUUCUUUCUUUUGCCUUUUCCAUAUCAUUGGAAGUAUGCAUUCUCUUGAUUUAUGAUAAAGGAGUGAAAACACAUAUUGAUUUGAGUGCCUUUUGUUUAGAGGUGGCCAACAGUCCAGCCUAGGCCAGUUCAGGGCCAAAAUUGGUUUUGAUCAAAUCUAAUAGUUGAAGUUUUUUCAAUUUUUUUUAAAUGGAAAAAAAAUUCAGUUUUAGCUCAAAACUGGACCGACUAGUUCUAGUCCGGUUCAAGACCAAUUUUAUUCAAUCCUAUUUUGAUCGGUUUCAGUCCAGAUUGAAGCGAUCCGAUUCCGGUUCCAAACCAGAACGUGGCUGGAUCUACCUAUGUCAAUCAUUUUUUAUUGACAUGGAGAAAAUUGAACAUUUCUUAAAACAUUUUUGUGCUCAUUAGCAAUGGUUGAAUCAUUGAUAGGUGAUUGGAACUUCCAUCACUGGACUUGGGACAGAUGAAGAUUCACUGACUAGAGCGAUAGUAACUAGAGCUGAAAUUGACACAAUGAAAAUCAGGGGGGAGUAUUUCAACAUCUACGGAACUAACCUUGAUGGUGCAGUCGAUGAUGACACUUCAGGGGAUUAUAGAGAGUUCUUGAUGACCUUACUUGGUGCUAGAAUCUGAAUUCAUUCUCCCUUCACUCAUUUCAAUUUUUAUUUUCAAUGUUGAUAUUGGAUUGUUUAUGCUGGCAUCUUUGAGAUAAAAAGUUGUAAACUGGCUGGAUCAGAACUCAAACUUUACUGAUCAGUUGUGAUUGAUCCAAUCUUAUGGUAUGUACAUAAACCUCAUCAACCCUACUGCUCUUAGUUAAUUCAAACCAUGUUUGAAGUUUUAUAAAUCAAU
rnacentral:misc_RNA from 1 species